UCUAAUUUGGGCGUCUAUAAAACCCUUGUUUUUUUAGAGAGGCUUUUCAUUCCUUAGGAGAUCUAGAGGACUUGAUAAUAUGGCCAACAUUUCUUCAUUUCUCACUUUUGUUGCAAUUGCAUUUCUGGCACUUGCGUUGCCUGAUCCCCAGAAAGGCACCAAGGAUUGUCCUGGAGGGUGCAAAGGUUGGAAAAAUAAUGGAUAAAAGCUUUUACCAUUUGAAAGAAGCUUUCUUAAAUUGAAUGAACUUUAAAAUAAAGGUCAAAAAUGUA